rnacentral:rRNA from 1 species
UACGUAGGCAGCGAGCGUUGUUCGGAAUUAUUGGGCGUAAAGAGUGUGUAGGCGGUGCUCCAAGUCUGUUGUGAAAUCUCCCGGCUUAACUGGGAGGGUGCGGCGGAAACUGGAAUGCUAGAGGGUGGGAGAGGUAAGCGGAAUUCCUGGUGUAGCGGUGAAAUGCGCAGAUAUCAGGAGGAACACCGGUGGCGAAGGCGGGUCUCUGGGCCGAUACUGACGCUGAGGAGCGAAAGCGUGGGGAGCAAACAGG